rnacentral:sRNA from 1 species
UGCCUAACCCUCGUGAAAUUAACUUUUCGAGGUAUGGCAGAAAACAACCAUCCCUGAUACUGAACCCCUCGUUCAGCGACUCAGGGAUGGGCAUGUCCGAAAGGGCAUGUGAACCGUAAGGUUC